rnacentral:lncRNA from 1 species
AUGGGAAUCAAGAGCUCAAACCACAACAUGCUCAAACCCACCCUCAGAAAGGUGCUUUCACCUCCACUUUCACGGUCCCUGGGUGGCACAAGGAAAGGAUACGGAAGACGUCAAACCCAGAGUUCCCACCUGAACACCACAAAUGACUUUUACCCUGGGAUUCAGAAAUGUCUACAGGACAGAGACUGGAUCAGCUAAAGAAUGACAGCCGGAUGUCUCAAAACAUGGGGUAGAAACAUAAGAGACUCAGACAACUUCCCCAAGCAACACACGCUAAAAAGAAGGAAAAGGCCCAUGCCACUUUGUAACAGGACUACAUCUGUGAAACCGUUCUGGCAGGUCUAAGUAAUAGCUAGAAAGACC